CGUUUCUAAGGUCUGCCAAAUU
rnacentral:miRNA from 1 species